AGGACGAACGCUGGCGGCGUGCUUAACACAUGCAAGUCGAGCGGAAAGGCCCUUCGGGGUACUCGAGCGGCGAACGGGUGAGUAACACGUGAGCAAUCUGCCCUUAGCUUCGGGAUAGCCCCGGGAAACCGGGAUUAAUACCGGAUACGACCUAGGCCGACAUCGGCCAUGGUGGAAAGUUUUUCGGCUAGGGAUGGACUCGCGGCCUAUCAGCUAGUUGGUGGGGUAAAGGCCUACCAAGGCGACGACGGGUAG
rnacentral:rRNA from 1 species